GUGACAGACAAAAGAAAAAAGCCCACCCCACCUCUACUCCCCCCGAUCCACAGAUGCCCCAUCUCCCGCAGCUCCUGCCCUCAACGGCAACGCGCCCGCCGCCCCGUCCCCAACCGGCGGCGCCGCCGCCACGAACCCCCCAACUACGACGCGCCGUGAAGAAAAAAAAGAGAAUCCCUCUCCCAACCUUAUCCCCACGCCGUUCUAACCCGACACCCAUGCCACCACCACCUCCCUCCCCGGGUAGCAGGCGCCGCAGCCGCCACCUACCUCCCCCGGUAGUGGGCGUCGUCGCCCACACCUCCAUCCGCCGGCAGAAGCACUGCCGCCCCCAUCUCCCUCCCCGCCAGACGCACCGCCGGCCCCAACUUCCUCCCCGGCAGACGCGUCGUCGCGACUCCACCUCCAGGCCGGGUCGCCACGCGCCUCCACCUCCCGGCUUCACGGUGCUGCCCCGUCGGCCUCCUCCGGCGGCCCCGUCGCCGUCCUUCUCCUGGAGCCCCGGCGGCUUCUGUCGUGUGCGCCAAUCAAGCCACACGGCCACCCCCGUCGCCCUAGCAUGCUUGCUUGGUGGAGACUAGGAGCAGCGACAGAGAUGCCGCCCCGCGGCCAAACCCCUGCCUCCGCUUGGCUCCGUCCGCUGCAGCACACCGCCUCUCCCCGUCGCCCACCUGCCAUGUUCAUGUCCACAGCAGUUCAAGCUACAAAUGGAGUAUUCCAUGCAGCAACAUUGACCCAACGGGCAUACGAUGGCCAACAACGGCUGGGUUUGGCGUGCGUCUCUCCGGCGUGCUGGGCGUGGUGCUAAGAGUGCUGCAAUUCGAAGUGGCGGGGCAUUAAAUUUUAGAGAUUGCUUUUUUAGUACAUUCGGGGAAGUUGCUUUCUUCCUUUUUGCAUUUUGUCUACGCACAUACUUAGUUCAGGCUUCAGAGUGGUUCUGACCUUGGGUCCUCUCACCUGAACACUUCACCAUUUGUAAAAGAUACAUAAAAUGAGUGUCGUAACUAACAUCAAAAAUGAAUCCAGAAUAAGUAGGAAGACACCACAACCUCAUCCACGGGUUCUAGUAGCUCAAGCUUUUAAGAAAAUACAUUUGACACGAAGCUUUAUUCAUACAGUUGUAAUAGUUUUUGAAGUAAUUUUGUCACUUCUGUAGCUUUGCUAAUUUUUUUGGAAAUGCUUUGUUUUGCAUAACAAUUGCUUUGGCAGUAGCAAAAAGAAGUUUUCUCUGGUGGCAAGGGGCCAUGCAGGCUAUUUUGUUACUUGCAAGGGACCAUGCAAGGACCUAUCCAACCGCUAAACCACAACCGCUUCUGGUCCGGCCGCCAUCAACACACACCGCCACGGCCUACUGCUGACACGAUCGUGCCUCCCCGAAGUCCAGGUUGUUCCCCGAGCAAACGUGCACCCUCAACUCUGUAGUGCCUGAGAAGCCACAUGGAAGCCCAAUCGUGCGUGCAUUUGUGUCCCCUGAAUUCGUCAUGGAGGUUUUGAUUAGUUUGGGUCACUCCCCACUGCUCUACUCCGUGGCGGAUCCUCCUUUGACCGGCUUCCACCACCACUACUGCAAUACCUCCUGACUACCCCCUGCGUCACCGGCAGCCGCAGUGGUCUGCUCCUCCCGGAUUGCACUCAUCAGUAGGUCAAACACAAAGCUUGUGGCAGGUCGACUAAAGAAGUUGGAGCAAAAAAGGAGGCACAAAAAAUUCAUUACAGCAUCAUCCUUUGAAGAAAGAACAGAGAACGUCCAGGUGGUUGGUUUCCGGCCACUUAGAACAGUUUUGGGCUUUUGGCAAUUGUUUUGCUUUCUUAAAACUGUUAGCAAUUGAAACCAAUGUCUUGGGUUUGAAAAAAGAUAUCUGUUUGCCCAUUGCUGGAACCCUAGCUUUGAGCAUGUUAAAACUUGCUUAUGAGAAUUGACCCCUAUUUUCGUAUUGUUUUGCA